UCGUUAUCAAACUGUUGUGAGGUUAUGUAAAAUUGUGAAGCAGUCGGAAAAAGAAUGUUGGGUGUCCAAAGUUAAUAAUCUGACCUUGCCUUUCAGGAAGAUGAUUUCACAGGAUUUGAAUCUGAUCGUAAAGGAUAUAAAGGCCCCAUACGGUCCAGACAUAAUCCCUCCAAAAGUGAUCCUGUCCAAACAAAAUUAAAAAGGAUACGAGAGAAGCCAUCCCUUGUAGUCACCCCAAAGGAGACAGAGGGGUCUCCAACUCCUGAAGAAGAUGCACCAUCUUCACAAGAGGUCCACUGUGCCAUUCCUCCUGAUGCAGUGCCUUCCAAUGAUGGUAGGAAGGGUUCAAAAAACAAGCACUCAAACCCAGCAAAGGAGAAGCGUCCUGCGAAAAACGGGGCGGCUUUAACUCCAAGGAUUACCAUCAAGUUGGUGGCCAAGAAGACGGUAAGAAAGGAAAAGGGAGGACAUCUAAAAUCUGUGGAGAAGUUGAAGGUAAAAGGAUUACAUUUUCAAUCAAAAGCUAAUGACGUCAAAGGUGACCAGAUCUCAAGUGCCCAUGUCAAAUUAAAGACCGAGACACAAGCUGAUGAGGCACAGCAUCUGAAUGGCACUGAGGAUGAGGGAGGCGGAGGAGCCAUACCGGCAAGGAGGCGUGGUAGAUCUGCCUCCAAGAUCACUGAACCCUGUGUUCAAAGUGGGGCCAAAGUUGGCGAGGUUGAUGACAAAAAAUCAGAGGGGGGUAUAAAAUCAACAGGAAAACAUGACAUUGCACUGGAAAGUGGAAAUGCGGAGCCAAAAACAGACAUUAAGAAAUUCAAACGGAAAGAAAGAACCACAGAGGUAAGCACUGAAGUCAAUAAACUGGUGAUCCGGAGAAGAAGUAGAACUACUAAUCCACCCUCCGAAACACAUGAAGGCCUUGUAACAGAAUCAAAAAACCAGAGCAAUGACAAAGUAUGUCUGGCAGAGUCUUUGUUAGAGGUUUCAAGAAUAGAGGAAGCCAAACCACCACCCAGAAAGAGUAAGCGUAAACAAAGCA
rnacentral:lncRNA from 1 species